UACGGAGGAUGCGAGCGUUAUCCGGAUUUAUUGGGUUUAAAGGGUGCGUAGGCGGAUUUUUAAGUCAGCGGUAAAAUGUCCGGGCUCAACCCGGGCCGGCCGUUGAAACUGGGGAUCUUGAGUGGGCGAGAAGUAUGCGGAAUGCGUGGUGUAGCGGUGAAAUGCAUAGAUAUCACGCAGAACUCCGAUUGCGAAGGCAGCAUACCGGCGCCCGACUGACGCUGAGGCUCGAAAGCGUGGGGAGCAAACAGG
rnacentral:rRNA from 1 species